rnacentral:rRNA from 1 species
GUGCCAGCCGCCGCGGUAAUACGUAGGGUGCGAGCGUUAAUCGGAAUUACUGGGCGUAAAGCGUGCGCAGGCGGUUGGUUAAGUCUGAUGUGAAAGCCCCGGGCUCAACCUGGGAAUGGCAUUGGAAACUGGCUGGCUAGAGUGUGGCAGAGGGGGGUGGAAUUCCGCGUGUAGCAGUGAAAUGCGUAGAGAUGCGGAGGAACACCGAUGGCGAAGGCAGCCCCCUGGGCUGACACUGACGCUCAGGCACGAAAGCGUGGGGAGCAAACAGGAUUAGAUACCCGAGUAGUCC